rnacentral:rRNA from 1 species
UACGGAGGGUGCAAGCGUUAUCCGGAUUCACUGGGUUUAAAGGGUGCGUAGGUGGGUUGGUAAGUCCGUGGUGAAAUCUCCGAGCUUAACUCGGAAACUGCCGUGGAUACUAUCAAUCUUGAAUACUGUGGAGGUAAGCGGAAUAUGUCAUGUAGCGGUGAAAUGCUUAGAUAUGACAUAGAACACCCAUUGCGAAGGCAGCUCGCUACACUAUCAUUGACACUGAGGCACGAAAGCGUGGGGAUCAAACAGG